rnacentral:rRNA from 1 species
UACGGAGGGUGCAAGCGUUGUUCGGAAUUACUGGGCGUAAAGCGCGUGUAGGCGGCUAUUUAAGUCUGGUGUGAAAGCCCGAGGCUCACCCUCGGAAGCGCACUGGAUACUGGAUGGCUCGAGUACCGGAGAGGAGGGUGGAAUUCCCGGUGUAGCGGUGAAAUGCGCAGAUAUCGGGAGGAACACCGGUGGCGAAGGCGGUUCUCUGGGCCUUACCUGACGCUGAGGAGCGAAAGCGUGGGGAGCGAACAGG